UUUUUUCAGGGGUUACGAGAGAAAACUUCUGCCUUACAAGCAGAGGGUCACUGGUUCAAGUCCAGUAGCGCCCA
rnacentral:tRNA from 1 species